UACAAACAGCUGUUUUAAAGCAGUAUUAAAUACGCACGCUAAUUCGACGGUCGGGUUUUAAACAUAAAUCGUGUAAAAAAUUGUUAGAAAAUUAGAAAAAAAUAAGAAAUAAAUAAAAAGGAACAUGAAAUAAAAGAUAUAAGUCAAGGCAUAUGGAAAUAAGUGUUUAAGUGCAAAGUGUCGUAAGAAUUAAAAUACAAAUAUUAAGAAAAAAAAAAGAGAAUGUGUCUUGUUGAUCAUACAACCAUAACAAAAUAUUAAGUUGAAAAAUAAAACAAAUCACACAACAACAACAACAAUAAAACAAACAAAAACCACAACAGCUUAAAAGGGGGUUACUAAUGGCCAACAAACUGAAAUCAACUGACCAUGUGGUAUGAAUGAAACAAAUAUGUAUGUAUGUAGUUUUGAAUGUUGCUAACGGAGAGCGUACAUUCAACUUUGAAAACGACUACAGCGAAUGAACUAAACAAAGCAUACAAGCACAUAUUAAAUGACCCCAUCUUGUGUAUUUAACAAACAUUGACUUUGGCGUUGACACAGUUUCCAGUUUUUUCGUCAUCAUCACCAUCAGCACUAGCGUUUUAAAUGGAUUUUCUACGAUUCUCUAUACCAAAAGGGAUAUAAAUUUUUUGUUGUUUAAAACGAAACAUUUCAUUUGUGUUGUGGUUGGUUACUUUUGACACUCUACUGGGAGGUUUGUAGUAGUAGUAGUAGUUUGUAUAACAACUUCUACCACUUUUAUAUUACUCUUCUGUUUCUGGCAUUUGGACUCUCUGCCAGGUUUUGACCAGUCAGUCAAGGAUUACUUUAUAUAAAAAUCAACUAGUUUAUUGUUGUGCAAAAGGUAAGUGUCU